UUCUUCUGGGCACUGAAGAUUUGAGGUUCCUGAGGAGGAUGAUGCAGUAUUUCAUUUGAGGGGUGAUGAGAACUGUCUCUCAAUCUGGAGCUUUCCUUUCGAUUCCGCACGUAACAGCGUGGAUGAUGGAGAUGGAGGUGCUGAUCUUGAGGCUGCGUCCCCUGAAAAGGGGCAACAGGAUUCUUGAGAAUUCUUAAAAACUUUGCAUCAAUCUAUAUCACGUCUUUCACGGAUCGGAAAUAUUGAAUGAUUGAUGGCAGAGGCAAAUCCAUGAUCUGCAGUGAUUCAGCAAUGUUGAGCUCUCGCGAUUUGUAACGAGUUAUAGCGAUUUGCGGCAUAGCUUUGGGCAGUCGCUCAAAGUAGAGUAUGAGUUUGUCUCGGCUGGGGUUUGUUUCGAUGUAACUAAUGUAUGAUGAAUGAUGAUGACCAAAUGAUAAUCUUUUCAUG